rnacentral:rRNA from 1 species
AUUGAACGCUGGCGGCAGGCUUAACACAUGCAAGUCGAGCGGAGAUGAGGUGCUUGCACCUUAUCUUAGCGGCGGACGGGUGAGUAAUGCUUAGGAAUCUGCCUAUUAGUGGGGGACAACAUUCCGAAAGGAAUGCUAAUACCGCAUACGUCCUACGGGAGAAAGCAGGGGAUCUUUGGACCUUGCGCUAAUAGAUGAGCCUAAGUCGGAUUAGCUAGUUGGUGGGGUAAAGGCCUACCAAGGCGACGAUCUGUAGCGGGUCUGAGAGGAUGAUCCGCCACACUGGGACUGAGACACGGCCCAGACUCCUACGGGAGGCAGCAGUGGGGAAUACUGGACAAUGGGCGGAAGCCUGAUCCAGCCAUGCCGCGUGUGUGAAGAAGGCCUUUUGGUUGUAAAGCACUUUAAGCGAGGAGGAGGCUACCUAGAUUAAUACUCUGGGAUAGUGGACGUUACUCGCAGAAUAAGCACCGGCUAACUCUGUGCCAGCAGCCGCGGUAAUAC